rnacentral:misc_RNA from 1 species
AAGUCGUAACAAGGUAACCGUAGGUGAACCUGCGGUUGGAUCAUUAUUAAAGUUGCAAGGUUAUUGUCUUUUGCCGGUAACGGCAGGGGCAAUAGCUGAGCUAAAACUUGGGUUGUUUAUUGAUUUUCAAUCGAGAGCAAUCUCUUUUGGAAUUCGGUAAACAUCCCUAUCACACCUGUGAACUGCCUCAGAGUAUGUUGCUAGUCAACUACAAUGAGUGACAACCACUACCACAAUUCUAAAAAAUAACAAAAAACAACUUUUGACAACGGAUCUCUUGGCUCUC